rnacentral:rRNA from 1 species
UUACGGGAGGCAGCAGUGGGGAAUUUUGGACAAUGGGGGCAACCCUGAUCCAGCCAUGCCGCGUGAGUGAAGAAGGCCUUCGGGUUGUAAAGCUCUUUCGGACGGAAAGAAAUCCUAUCCGCUAAUACCGGGUAGGGAUGACGGUACCGUCAGAAGAAGCACCGGCUAACUACGUGCCAGCAGCCGCGGUAAUACGUAGGGUGCGAGCGUUAAUCGGAAUUACUGGGCGUAAAGCGUGCGCAGGCGGUUUUGUAAGACAGGUGUGAAAUCCCCGGGCUUAACCUGGGAACUGCAUUUGUGACUGCAAGGCUAGAGUGUGGCAGAGGGGGGUAGAAUUCCGCGUGUAGCAGUGAAAUGCGUAGAUAUGCGGAGGAAUACCGAUGGCGAAGGCAGCCCCCUGGGUCAACACUGACGCUCAUGCACGAAAGCGUGGGGAGCAAACAGGAUUAGAUACCCUCGUA